CUAUGUAAAUCAGGGUUCGGCCUCCAAAUGCUGCAAUCAUACCAGCACUUUCACGAGGUUAAUGACUGCUGCUAGUAGUGAGAAGGCAUUGACUUGUAUGGUUGUAAUCUUCCUGUGACUUCCCAAGUCUAUAAAGAAUCAGUUGAGGGCUCAUUUGCUGUAAAAAAUAUAUGUCCGAUCAAUACUAGAUAGAUAUGUUGAGAAACUACACCAAGCACUUCUUUUAUAAGGUCUCGAACGUUAAUGCAAAGUGUUAUCAAGGCAUACUUCAAUUUAUCAGAAUGGGAAUUAAUUUGUCUAUGGUAUUGCACAGAAUAAAAGAUGAAUUUAACCUAAAGGAAAGUGAAUCUAAUUCACGGCUCGAAGCAAAUUUCUUAUUAUUCAUCACAAGCUUACAUUCCUCUUGUUUUGCAACAACAAAGACUAAUGUCACUAGUAUUUUGCUUCAUAUAUAAAUGGUCCUCUUGUUUUUUUUUGAACCCAAACACAAUAACGUGACUUAGCUUUAUUUCGCGUCUUCAACCCCAUGCCUUCGAGACUUUCGUUUCCAAUUGAGGAAUGUAAUGCACUAAUAAUAAUUCUUCUCAUCAUAUCAUGCUGUCAGAAAUGAAUGGAUCCACGGCCUAGUUUCUGCUCAUUUGUAGCAUAUGUCAUUUCCUGGAUGGCCAGUAUAAAUGCGACGUCAGUAUAAUUUGAUUAAAAGGACUCUUCCUAUCAAUCAGAAAAACUCAAGAAUCAUCGCUGCUCCCCUAUUAUUGAGCGAGCUUGAUCAUUGGAAAUUGUGCAUGUACCUGGCUAACGCGCCAUGACUUUGCUUAGGCUGAGGAUUCACACAAACGAAAAUUACAACUACGUAAAAGAAGAGUCCAUCAUAUUAGUUGUAGUACUUUGUACUCUAUAGUACUCUGUAUGGAUUAGUAUAUUCUUUCACAGUAGGAAGGAUUGUGAAAACGAAAUGGAUGAAAGUGUGGCGGCAGGGCUUUACUCAAUGGAAUGUUGGGAACAAGAAACCGCGUCGAGAGCCCAAAUCCUCAUUAAAUUGGAACCGCCAGAUUAUUAGACCUAGUACGAGUACGAGUAGUACUAAAAUAUAAUAUAUAAUCUUCCCGCCAAAGCCAAGCAUCCUUUGGCGGUAAAGAGACCAACCUUCCGUUUCCCUUAUGGACGCCUUGUACAAUACUCACGUUAAGCUCUUGGCCUUCGACUUCCUGAAACUGACGCCGUCACCGACAGACCCCUCUUCCUUCUUCCGCAGAGGCAAGCGCCUCUCGCGCGCGGAGACUGUAGGAAUCGUGGUAACCCGAGAUCUCAAGCCGGGAAAGUUCGUCAAAUUCACGAUUGACGAUGGCUCCGGCUGCAUCUCCUGUGUUCUGUGGCUCAAUCAGCUCAACUCCUCUUACUUCUCUCGCCGCAACCCAUCGGAUGUUCGACUAAUUGCCCAAGCGGCCACUGAUUUUGCCUCUGAUCUCCAACUCGGCGUUCUAGCUCGAGUCCGCGGCAGGAUCACAGAUUACAGAGGCGCUCUUCAGAUUUCAGUGUCUGAUGUUGUCGUGGAGAGGGACCCCAACAUGCAGAUUCUGCAUUGGCUAGAUUGUAUGAGGUUGGCGCGCCAGUGCUACGACUAAUAUUGCAACUUAUUUACUUUUAUUAACUCUGCUAUGCAGAUGUAUUUAAUUCAGGGGAGACAAAUGGAUUAUGAGUCGGACACCAUUUGGAAGUCUGGUCAUGCUGUUAGCCCGUAUUUUGGAUAGUGACUGUUCAGCAUCAUGUGCAAGAAUUUGCGGAGUUGAGAGGUAGAGGCGGAGACAUGUGGAUUUGGACCACCAAGUGAAUGUGGAUUUCCAAAACUUUUUAGAUUACCCUGAUUGGUUUCCAGAAUGGACUGAUCAGAAAAUUGAAGGCCUUGGAUUCUUGAAGUUGUGGAGUAAACGUUUGAGUUCAAUAUGUAGAUUAGCAAGACAAAAGUAAUUGUUUACUUGAUUCACCAAAUCAUUGCUCUAGUGAUGCCUAAUGACCAUACUGAACCAGCAGGAGAAUAGACAGUCAUGUUGGGAGUUUUCUUCCAAACCAGUUUUAUGGAGCUGCUGGACUCAUCUGGUACCAAACAAGCACUCCAUCUGAAACAAGAGUUAAGAUUAAUUGGUGCCAGUAGCUUAAGCGUCUGUAGGUGGUUCAGAGCAGGCUACUAUUUAGCGUUUAUCUCAAGUCUGAUUAUGUUUCCAUGGAUAGAACAGGGAAAUAUGUACCAUAACUGUCGGACAGAAAACAUAGCCGUCAUGUUAGACCAAUUUUGUCAUAGUAUUAUAUUCGUAUGUGCACUGGUAGUGAUGCCGGGAUGAUUCUAAGUA